rnacentral:rRNA from 1 species
GAGAACGCUGGCGGCGUGCCUAACACAUGCAAGUCGAACGGGACUGAUUGGAAAAGCGGGCUUCGGCCAAUGGAAGAUCAGUUUAGUGGCGAACGGGUGAGUAACACGUGAGGAACCUGCCUUUCAGUGGGGGGACAACAGUUGGAAACGACUGCUAAUACCGCAUAAUGUACUAUAGGGGCAUCCCUUAAGUACCAAAGCUUUAUGUGCUGAAAGAUGGCCUCGCGUCUGAUUUAGAUAGUUGGUGGGGUAACGGCCUACCAAGUCAACGAUCAGUAGCCGGUCUGAGAGGAUGAACGGCCACAUUGGGACUGAGAUACGGCCCAGACUCCUACGGGAGGCAGCAGUGGGGAAUAUUGGGCAAUGGGGGAAACCCUGACCCAGCAACGCCGCGUGAAGGAAGAAGGCCCUCGGGUUGUAAACUUCUUUUAGCAGGGACGAAGAACGUGACGGUACCUGCAGAAAAGCAACGGCUAACUACGUG